CCGAGCUUAAAAACACCCGAUCCCGACGUCCCGAAUAAGUCUUGCCUCCCUCAAAUCUCUACCCAACUUUCAUUUUGGCUAAAUCACUACUUUCACUUUCAGCAAUAAAUUCUUAUGCCCCGACCAUUUAUUGGAAUUAUGUGUUCUAGCCUAUUCGUCCGUUCGCUCGUUCGUCCAUCCGUUUAGCAAUAAAUUUUUAUGCCCCGGC
rnacentral:lncRNA from 1 species